CGCACCCACACCUAUCGUUACGCGGUUUUAACUAUAUGUUGUUACGCUUCAACUUAGUAAGUUUGGUGUUUGGAAGAUCCUUUUUAUCUAAAGGACUUUUAAGCGGGGUGACUUCAAUUCUUCGUUAUGCUUCUAAGCAUAGGGAGUUUCGAAGGAGACCUAUGACAGGAAAACGUGGCAGAAAUUAUAACAAAGGCUGGGGUUGUGGCAUUCGCGGGAAGUGGGGAAGAAAUGGUAUAUUUCUUUAUGACCACACUAAAGAUCCACUAUAUGUAGUCCCCGAUCUAACUAAUUGUCAGUUUAAACCUUAUGUGAUGUUAGGCACCGAAGUUCCCAAGGUGUCUCCUGAAACUCAUAAAUCGCUUAUGAAUUAUUUAAAGGAUCAAUAACUGUAGUCAGAUAAAAAUAUUCAAUAAAAGACUUUUGCAACGCUAGAAUAUAUUACGUUAUAAUUUGGGGGAUGCGUAGCUACCUAUUUUUUACGCUUUAAUCGGUAGGAUCACGAACUUGGAUUAAAUAAGACAACCGUGUUGCUUAUG